rnacentral:rRNA from 1 species
UAGAGUUUGAUCCUGGCUCAGGAUGAACGCUAGCGACAGGCUUAACACAUGCAAGUCGAGGGGCAGCGGUGGUGAAGGCUUGCCUUUACCAGCCGGCGACCGGCGCACGGGUGAGUAACACGUAUGCAACCUGCCUGCCACAGCCGGAUAAUCGGGAGAAAUUCCGUCUAAUACGGCAUAAUGCAUCGACGGGACAUCCUGUUGGUGCCAAAGGUUGAUUCCGGUGGCGGAUGGGCAUGCGUCGCAUUAGUUAGUUGGCGGUGUAACGGACCACCAAGACGACGAUGCGUAGGGGUUCUGAGAGGAAGGUCCCCCACACUGGUACUGAGACACGGACCAGACUCCUACGGGAGGCAGCAGUGAGGAAUAUUGGUCAAUGGGCGGGAGCCUGAACCAGCCAAGUCGCGUGAGGGAUGACGGCCCUAUGGGUUGUAAACCUCUUUUGCCGGGGAGCAAAGUGCCGCACGUGUGCGGUUUGGAGAGUACCCGGAGAAAAAGCAUCGGCUAACUCCGUGCCAGCAGCCGCGGUAAUACGGAGGAUGCGAGCGUUAUCCGGAUUUAUUGGGUUUAAAGGGUGCGUAGGCGGACGCUUAAGUCAGCGGUAAAAUUGCGGGGCUCAACCUCGUCGAGCCGUUGAAACUGGGUGCCUUGAGUGGGCGAGAAGUACGCGGAAUGCGUGGUGUAGCGGUGAAAUGCAUAGAUAUCACGCAGAACUCCGAUUGCGAAGGCAGCGUACCGGCGCCCAACUGACGCUGAAGCACGAAGGCGUGGGUAUCGAACAGGAUUAGAUACCCUGGUAGUCCACGCAGUAAACGAUGAAUGCUAGUUGUCCGGGGCGAUUGAGUUCUGGGUGACACAGCGAAAGCGUUAAGCAUUCCACCUGGGGAGUACGCCGGCAACGGUGAAACUCAAAGGAAUUGACGGGGGCCCGCACAAGCGGAGGAACAUGUGGUUUAAUUCGAUGAUACGCGAGGAACCUUACCCGGGCUCAAACGCAGGAGGGAUGUUUUUGAAAGGAGGCAGCCAGCAAUGGUCUCCUGCGAGGUGCUGCAUGGUUGUCGUCAGCUCGUGCCGUGAGGUGUCGGCUUAAGUGCCAUAACGAGCGCAACCCCUACCUACAGUUGCCAUCGCGUGAUGGCGGGCACUCUGUGGGGACUGCCUGCGCAAGCAGUGAGGAAGGCGGGGAUGACGUCAAAUCAGCACGGCCCUUACGUCCGGGGCGACACACGUGUUACAAUGGCAGGUACAGCGGGAAGCCACCCGGCGACGGGGCGCGGAACCCGAAAACCUGUCUCAGUUCGGAUUGGAGUCUGCAACCCGACUCCAUGAAGCUGGAUUCGCUAGUAAUCGCGCAUCAGCCACGGCGCGGUGAAUACGUUCCCGGGCCUUGCACACACCGCCCGUCA